GGGCCGCUGGUCUAGUGGUAUGAUUCUCGCUUAGGGUCCACCCACCCUGAGUUUGUUUACGAUUGAGCCUCUCUGCCUUUGGGUGGUGUGGGAGAGGAAACAAAAAGUUUGCGAGAGGUCCCGGGUUCAAUACCCGGGUUGGCCCC